rnacentral:rRNA from 1 species
AUUGAACGCUGGCGGCAGGCUUAACACAUGCAAGUCGAGCGGAGAUGAGGUGCUUGCACCUUAUCUUAGCGGCGGACGGUGAGUAAUGCUUAGGAAUCUGCCAUUUAGUGGGGGACAACAUUCCGAAAGGAAUGCUAAUACCGCAUACGUCCUACGGGAGAAAGCAGGGGAUCUUCGGACCUUGCGCUAAAUGAUGAGCCUAAGUCGGAUUAGCUAGUUGGUGGGGUAAAGGCCUACCAAGGCGACGAUCUGUAGCGGGUCUGAGAGGAUGAUCCGCCACACUGGGACUGAGACACGGCCCAGACUCCGACGGGAGGCAGCAGUGGGGAAUAUUGGACAAUGGGCGGAAGCCUGAUCCAGCCAUGCCGCGUGUGUGAAGAAGGCCUUUUGGUUGUAAAGCACUUUAAGCGAGGAGGAGGCUACUAGUACUAAUACUACUGGAUAGUGGACGUUACUCGCAGAAUAAGCACCGGCUAACUCUGUGCCAGCAGCCGCCGUAAUAC